rnacentral:rRNA from 1 species
UAAUAGUGUAUAUUAAAGUUGUUGCAGUUAAAAAGCUCGUAGUUGAAUGUUGGUGUCGAACGAGCGGUCAGCUUCGGCUGUACUGCUCUCUCGACUCCUUCCUUCUGUGGACUACGUCGCACUUUACUGUGUGGCGCUAGGACGCAGAUCGUUUACUGUGAAAAAAUUAGAGUGUUCAAAGCAGGCCGUACGCUUGAAUACAUUAGCAUGGAAUAAUGGAAUAGGACGUCGGGCCUAUUUUGUUGGUUCUGGGACCGUAGUAAUGAUUGAUAGGGACAGUUGGGGGUGCUGCUAUUCCGCGGCCAGAGGUGAAAUUCUCAGAUUCCCGGAAGAGCAACUUAUGCGAAAGCAUUCACCAAGGAUGUCUNCUUUAA